AAAAUGAUUUAUGAUCAUAUCUUGACUAAAUUUGAUCCCUUUGACACCUUACUUUGUCCAAUUGGCUUCUAGAACUCUCGGAUCUUCAUUUCAAGUUUCGACACGACUUUUGAUUAAUUGCAUUUUAAUCCUCGAACUUUGGAUCUCUUACGUUUUGGUCAUUUCAUCCAAUUUCGCUAGCUUUUGCCUAUUUCCUUCCUUUAACCUCUUUUAGCUCUUGUUUUCUCCACUUACAUCAAUCUACAAAACAA
rnacentral:lncRNA from 1 species